GUGUGUGUGAGUGUGUGUGCGUGUGAGUGUGUGUGUCUGUGUGUGUAUAUUUGUGUGUGUGUGAUGUAUUGUGUUCCAAGCAGGUUUGGCACGACUCUUUAAAAGAUUUGGUUAUUCUUAUUUUUCAAGCCAGAGUUGCUGGCAGUUGGCUGACGUCAGACAAAAUUGCUCAAACGCAGCAGAUUUUAAAAAUAGGGCCGUGGUGGUGUUAAGACAAUAAUAAUAGAAAAUUUGGGGUAGUUGUAGGCUGAUGUGAAGCUCCCAAGAUAGGGCCUGGGCCUCUGCCUCACGCUUCCUAAGUGAAUUCUCACUUCCGGAUGCCCAGCACUUCUCCCACUCUCCUCCUCAGUGAUGGAGGAGGAGGAGACGGGUAAUUGGAGUGGGCUGAGUAACAGUCUGGCUUGUCGAGUCAAGCUGUGCAAUGUACCCAUUCUGGCCUCAGUUGGCUCUUGCGGCUAGAUUCUGGCAGAGUCCAAAGCUAAGCUGAAACGGCACAUCUGAGCUGCGAGGUCUGCGGGGAGCCUCCCCCUCCCCCAAAUAAAAGCUUGCUUUGUCUGGCCUAAGUGACCCUUGACUUCUUGAUUUUUGCAACUCUAUCUACUGUUCAAGGAACAGAGGCCCAGCAGCAGGGCAUGAGAUUAGGAAGCAAGGGCAAUUCUCAGGUCAAAGUAGAUAUUCUCAAGCUGGAUUCAGAGAAACCCAAGGAUCGUAGACAGGCGUUUUAGUGACCCCUGAAAGGGCUACACCUGCUUCACCUAGGGAAUUGAUUUUAUUUAUUGUCAGGAGUUGGUUUCCAUGAGAUUGUUUGGGGAAAGACUAGAAUUAAUCUUUCAAUAAAUUCCAGUAAAUUCUGCUUCUGACCUAACCCCUCCUCCACUGAAUUCAAUAUCUCCCCCUGAUUUUAACAGCUCAGGGAUGAGACCCUGGGGUCAGAACAGACACUCUGAUGCUCUUAUCCUCGCCUUAUUCGAAAUCACUGUGUUCUAGGUCCAAUAUGGGAGACAGUGGCUAGCCUGCUCCAAGCUACCCUGGUGAUAACUCCGGGACUUGAUUAAACUGAAGGGAAAGAGUACAUUUGGAAAUUUCUCCCAUCUCAUGAAGCUUCCACAUGCGCACUGAAGCUGCAUCUUCUGGAAUCUCUGGGGACCUUAAAAGAGACCCCUUUAACCAACACCAGUCCCUGGGCCCUGGAGAUUGAAAGGGACACACAUAGCUCUGUACCAGCUGACAUGUAAUUUCAGGUUGUGAGGCAAAGCUCUCUGUUCUUAGCUUGGAGCAGAGAGCAGAAAGAUCACUGAACUAUUCAGAUCCCGAUAAGAAAAAUGGAUUUGUUAGUGACUGCCCAGUCCUCCGAGAACAGCCAUGAUAUCUUGCUUGCAGUAAAUUCUCUGAACACCACUUGUCUAGGUGGAAAAAGAAAACGUAUUGAUUGUUAACAUUUACUGAGGAUGUAUAUUCUAGGUGCUAUUUUAAACUCCUUCCACAAUUAGCUGGUUUAACUCUCCCCAGGCUGGGUGACAGUGUUCUUACAUUAGGUGAACAUCUGUAAUAAAGAUGGGGGAAACUGAGUCACAGAGAAGUUAGUUUGUGUGCUGACAUGGGUGUGAACUCUGUCCUGAAGCGCACAGAACUUGGUGUGCUUUCUACCUGUCUACACGCAUUCUUUUCUAUUGCAAGCCCUGCCAACCUUCUCUCUGUGAGGUUUCCUCAGGUCUGUGGUGGCUGGAUCAAUACGUGUAUACAAAGACAGGACAAAUGCCACUUAAAACAACAGCAUUGACAUUCUUCAUCAUUCAAACCCUGGCUGGAUACUGUUCACUGGUCUCCCCAUCUCCUCCCAGCUAACUCUCUCCCUCUCGAGACAGAGGUUGGUCAGAGUCUGAGUCAUGCAGAGCAUCUGAAACCAUCAAGGUGGCAGGUCCUUGUCAGGCGUUGAUGUGCCAUGCUCUGAGAGCACAUCCCCAGACAGCAAACGCCGAUUUCAGAAAAUGCAAAAUUUGCUUUUUGAUAAAGACAACGUUGUCCCUGUCUACAAAUGUUUCUAGCCCUCAGCCUUGAAUCCUUCCUACGUGGACACUUGAGGAACAUGGUGUCUCUAAGCCUCCCAGCUCUUCUGGCGACCUUCCUCCCUAUCUUCAAGGUGCUGUGUCUCUGUCAUGCAUCCAUUGGCCACUCCAGCACAGGAAGUCUUAUGUUUCCUUUACUUGUCUCACGAGGGCUUGUUUCCUCAUCCAGAGAGCAGAACCUCUGUGAACACCUGAAGUUCCCAGAAAAAUGUCAAAUCGUGGUCUACAUUCUUAUGAGUUUUUUUUCUUCUCCUCCAUUUAUGUGUGUGCUGCUUAUGUAUGCAUGUGUGUAGGCCCAUGCCCACCUCUCUGAAGGCCACAGGAAGAUGUUGGAUGACCUGCUACCAUUCUCCCUUUGUAGUUUGAGAUGGAGUCUCUCCCUGAACCUAGAGCUAGGCUAGGCUAGCAGGCAACAAUCCCUAGUGACUCUCCUGUCAGGCUCCUUUAGUACUAGGGUUGUAAGUAUGAGCAUGAGAAUGGCCGACUCUUUACAUGGAUGCCAGGGAUUUAAACUCAGGUCUUCAUGUUCGUAUAUCAAGUGCCCUGACAUUAGAGACGUCUCUACAAUCUCUCUUAGAGGCUUUGUUUGUUUGUUUUUUAAUUAUUUAUGUUUUUAGUUGUGAGCCUAGUCUUUAAUGGCUGAGCAAUCUCUCCAGCCUGAGACUUUGCAUUUAGGGUAUGUGUCUUUAGAGCUCACAUCCCUCUCUCUCUCUCUCUCUCUCUCUCUCUCUCUCUCUCUCUCUCUCAUAUCUAUCUAUCUAUCUAUCUAUCUAUCUAUCUAUCUAUCUAUCUAUCUAUCUAUCUAUCAAAUGCUUUAGAAGCUUCUGAGCUUGGCACUGCGGUAACCUUCAGUAGGAAGUAGUCAUGCUGCCAUUGUGAGCUUUCUUAUCUGCCCUCCAGAGGACACCUUUCUGUGGAGUUGGCCCUCUAUCCCAUACUCCUUUGCUGUGACAACUCUAGUAAAUGAACCCACCAUCCACAGCAGAUACAUACAUUUUUCUUUUUGGUUUCUUUUUUGCCAAGCUAUUUAGUUGCCUUUAUCCAUCACUGGAGUUUUCCUACUGCCCUGCUUGGCUCAGCAGUUGGACAGACUCUAUAUGGUAGCCCGGUGUUGGCAGAGAAGAUGGCUUGACACGCCAUCUCUCAUCAGCCCUACACCUGUCCACCUUCGGUUUCAGCCACUGACUUCUCCCUGAGGGCAGAAGUCAUUCUCCUGCUAGAGCUCCAACCUUUCAACACUCAGCAUUUACUACAGCCGUUAUUCAUGCCACCUCCUUGGGCAGGGUGUGGUUGCCCUUCCAGUCUGCUAGAUAAGCCCAGUAUUAUCACCUAUAAGGAUAGGCUGCUGGCGAUCAGUGCCCUGAGGGCAGACUUUCCAGAAGGUGACACCUUUGCUAGUCUCUGCUUAUAUCUGGGAGGUGGUGAGAGCCACAGCAAAGCUGCUCAGAGUGACAGUCCAAACCACAGUGACCCACACUUUGCCUGUGAUGGCCUUACACAGUAGCAGGUUUUCAACAGCAUAAGUGCUCAGAGCCAGGCGUGGUCAAGCAUGAGGUUCCUGAAGCCAUACUUACAUUAGACUCUGGGUACCAAACAAGAAAGAGACUCCACAUCAAAUUACAGCAACCAUAGCGGGUGUUGGUCACUGGUUACUGGCUUCUUCUCCAUUGUCUUUAUAGCUUUGGGCUACACUCAAUUCAUCCUCAGGAUGAGGACUAGAGUUAAGCUUUUGGAAGGUAAGAGUUAAACCAGCUCUUUGGUCACUGUCACGAGGCCUCAUGCUAUAUAAAGGGUCUUUGGGACAUUCAGCUUUUCCUCUUCCUCAUUUCCUCCUCCCCUCGAUCUUGUUUUCUCCCUAGGGUAUGGAUGGUUUUGGAGCCGGUAUGAUUAACUUCACUUGGGCUACAAUCUCAGGAAGGAAUGGAAUGGAAAUCAUUUUUGGAAUAUAAAUCAAAGAGGCUGUGUUCACGAUGCUCUCUACGAGUGUUUGGGGUGAUCUGAAUAACUCGGUCUUGAGAACCCGUUGAGGACGCAGUGACGGCAUCCUGUGUGCUUUGCUGUCCUGAGAGUUGCUCAGACAGUGUGACGAAAAUGUCUCCCUUGAGAGGAGAUGGAUGGAACCAGGUAAUGGCAGGAGGGGAGUAGAAGGGCAGGGGAGGCAGCACACACCCUGCUUGAUGAAGGGGAGCUGCUGAGGACACCGAGGGGGAGGAGGAGGGGGAGUCUAGGGACCCGGGGACUGCAGGGCCCCAGUAUCCCAUCUAAGCAGGGGGAAUGUCUAAGCACAGUUCUGGGGACACCUCCUGGAAGCAGGAGAAGCAAACAGUCUACAGGGCUGGGGAACAAUCUGGGGAGAGUGUUUAAUGAACCCCCUGAAUAUUAGGGUCUCAACUGUCUCCUCAGGAUCCCGCAGGACCUUAGGUUCUCCACUUGGGAAGGCUUAUGCCAACCACAGAAUCAAAGGGACAAUGGCAAACUACCUUGAAAGCUCCAACUGUAAGUGGGAGCCGUGACCCUUCCACGAGAAGACUGGACCUCUGUCCUAGACCCAGCCCGCUAUCUCCUGACCCCCAGCCUUCGUGGACAUAAACAUUCUGACCUUAACCAUGGAAACUACAGUGUAGCCACAGAGCAGUUAGAGCUGGUGAAGUCAGCUACAUAUUCACAGCGACUCUUGCGCCCUGGGCUCUGCUCUGGAAGACUGUGGCUGAUGGCCACCGAGCACCUGCUUUGAGUCUUGCCCCAGCUUCAUCCAAAUGAGAGGAUUUAUAGGUCCUUGACAUUUGUCCCUUAAAGACUUGAAUAUUAAUUCAACAAGUUUGACUGAAAAGCACUUCUAAAAUGUGUUAGACCUGGAUGACCACAGAUUGUUCCAAAGAACGCUUGCUUCAUUGCCUCUGAACUCGAGUGGCCUCUGAGCAGGCUCCCAGGGAUCACCGUGAAGGCUGAAUGGUUCCUGCUCCAUGGUCUUUGGCUAGCUCCAAGAGCAAUUUUUCUGUGAACUUCAUAGGCAGCGGGCUAGAACAAGACAACCCUGAGAAGGGGUGGGGGUGGGGACGAUGGGCAGAGCUUGGUCCCUCUUCCAACAUAAACAGAGUCAGCAAUGUGGGCAGGGUCUGGAGCUUUUGGAGACUCAGGUCUGGAAGCUGGGCUCAAAGACUUUGUCCCUUUCCUCCCCGCUCACUGGGGGCCUUUCUCAGGAGCUUGAGGGGAGCCAGAGUACACCCGAGGACGGCCCCUGCCCAAGGGAAGCGGCCAUGAGUGCACAGUGCUGUACUGUGGAUAACAGGGCUUUUUGACAGUCUUGGUUCGGCUCCCAAGGCCGGUGACAGUGACACGAUGAUGAAUGUGCAUAAAUCCCACACCACUGACGGAGGGGAGCAUCUACGACCGGUCUGAGUAUCUAAAACCUAAGCGUUUGCAGUCUAAUUGGCAGUGAUCACAGCCAACACUUAAAGGAACAUGUAUCUUAAGUGACCAUUAGUCCAACAUCUGCAUUCUGACAGGGUCACUGAGGAGCGGGCAGUUUGUCAAAGGUCAGAGUCAUGCGAGAGCCCUAGCAAGAGAGCAAGGGGUGGGCCUGGGCCUCCUUUACCCCCCAACCCAGGACUCAGGCCCCUUGGGUGCUCCAGGCAGGCAGCAGCUUCUGCUGUUGUUCUCCCCUGCUGCAGUCCUGUGCAUUUUAAUUGCUUACACGUUCUCUUCUCAUACCCUGGGGUAAUUUUACAAAGGGCACAACUCUGACAUUCAAAAAAGAGCACAUACAUUCUAAGGCCAUUUAAAUCCCUUUGAUUAAAGAGGAAAAUAACAAUUGCGAGAGAGACGCUCGUGCUUGUGACACACACACACACAUAACACGCACACCACAUACACACACACACACACCACACAUACCACACCACACACA
rnacentral:sRNA from 1 species